rnacentral:tRNA from 1 species
UAGCUCAACUGGUAGAGCAGUGCCCUCUUAAGGCAUUGGUUCGGGGUUCGAGUCCC